rfam:Dipodomys ordii contig_67112, whole genome shotgun sequence.
GGUGGCUCAGUGGUAGAGCGCUUGCUUUGCAUGCAUAAGGCCCUGGGUUCGAUUCCUCAGCACCA